rnacentral:lncRNA from 1 species
UGUGUUAAGACAAAAAAGUGUGCACACUGUGACAAUAAAAACACCACAGAAUUCUAAUAAUUGCUGCCGUAUAGUAGGACAAGAGCUUUUUUUUUUUUGCUUCAUAAGUGUGUCCCAUUUCAGGUCUUCUUUUCUUUUUCUUUACGGAAUGAAAGAGUACUAAAUAAAUUUAUCACUCUAGUGAUUUGUUACUGUGCGCAGUUCAAUUCUGCUUAUCUUUUUCAGAAUGCACACUGGGCCAAAUUGCUUAACAAGUAUUUACCCAACAAAUGGGACAAUUGCUAGUAAAAAGCAUGUCCACGACAGCGAAGUGAACGAGGGAUACUCGCUACGAGCCAACCAAGCACAAUGGGGGCACUACAGCUCAAGACCUAGCAAGCUCGAACAAUGGGCUCUCAAGACAAGGGCUCAUCAAACAAAGGCGCCCACUCAGCUGUGACACGCCUCGUCUCGAGUCAGUGAGCAGGAUAGCCUGCUGCAAGAUAGCGUGCCGAAAACAGACAGGACGGGCAGCUGGGGCAAAGCCAGGAUGGCCCACUUGGAGAAGGAGACACACUGGACGGCCGUGUUCAUGCGCCAGAUGGAGAGCUCCAGGGAGCCGUCGUCCACCCGCUCGGCCACCACGCUGAUCAGCGGGGGCCAUUUCUUGGGGCUGCUGUAGCACAGGCCGUGCACCGUCCUGCACCGUAACGUCAGGCACGUUGCUCAGCCCCAAACACAUGAGUAUCCACGGAGUGCCCAAGAGUAGGCAAGAAACUAUCCAGUCCUCACUAGUCAGCAAGACAAGGGCCUGUUUUCACAAAACUUCUGUUAUGCAACAAGCUAAAAGAAUAAGGGACACUGUGGGA